CAUUUCCCUCACAGAGCUACAAUUCCCAGAGUUCCCUGGGAACUAAAACCACUCCUGGCAACUCUCAGCACCCUUAACAAACUGCAGAUUCCAGGAUACUUUGUGGGAUGCAUCCUGAUACUGCAUUAAAUGUACAGUACAGAUUGGGGAGGGGGGCAGGGCUAUGAUUCUACUUAAAAGGCUCACUGUUUAUGAACAUCAUGUAACAAGGGGGUGAAGACAUCAUCCCUCCGCCAAAAAUCAAGAUGAAAAACAAAUCAGUAAAUACUUCAGGACAAAUGAGAGAAGGAAAGAAGAGGAACAAAUGUAUUGGGAAGAGAGAAUGGUGAUUUUCCUGAUUCCUUUGAAACAAUUCCAGUACUGUGCCAUUCCUGACAUCACAAGGAGGAACAAACGUGUUCUAAUAUUGUUUACAGCCAAUCACAGCAGCAGAUGUUAAUGGCAACACCUUUUCUAAAAGCUUCCUGCAUUUUUGGGGUGGCGGCAAGGAAAUGAAAGGCCUCUGCGCUCCAUCCUGUGCCUCGUAACUCACCCGAGGCAAUACAUUAGACCUU